UGGGGAAUAUUGCACAAUGGGCGAAAGCCUGAUGCAGCGACGCCGCGUGAGGGAUGACGGCCUUCGGGUUGUAAACCUCUUUCAGUAGGGACGAAGCGCAAGUGACGGUACCUGCAGAAGAAGCACCGGCUAACUACGUGCCAGCAGCCGCGGUAAUACGUAGGGUGCGAGCGUUGUCCGGAAUUACUGGGCGUAAAGAGCUCGUAGGCGGUUUGUCACGUCGUCUGUGAAAUCCUAGGGCUUAACCCUGGACGUGCAGGCGAUACGGGCUGACUUGAGUACUACAGGGGAGACUGGAAUUCCUGGUGUAGCGGUGGAAUGCACAGAUAUCAGGAAGAACACCGAUGGCGAAGGCAGGUCUCUGGGUAGUAACUGACGCUGAGGAGCGAAAGCAUGGGUAGCGAACAGG
rnacentral:rRNA from 1 species